ACAACGACACCCCCAGUCGCCAACAGCUACAAGUCAGCAUUGCUGACGAGAUCGUGAUAUAUGCAAGCAACUAGAGAUUUCGACACAAUCAAGACAAUUCCUAGACCCUGCCACCAGACCUUUCACCCCAACAGUGUCACUGCAGUCAAUUGGCUCUGCCGCCGAGACCCCACCGGUUAUGGAGUCAACCCAAGACUACGGAAAAGGCUUGAGAGCGCAGAGGGACCCAAAGGCCCCCUGCACCUACUGCACCGCGUCGAAAUCCCCCAGGCAUCGCAGACUGCCCCAGAGAUAUCUUUCUUUAAGUGUGUAGGGAUGUUGUGGGAGCGUUAGAGGGCAAAACACUCCAGAAAUGAAAUGAAUCUUUUGCUUUCCUCCCAUGCAGAGGCCAUACAGACCAAUACUGACACUGGGACUGGUGGCUUUUAAGUGGAGACGUUUUAUGUGUUCUUACUUGGAUCCCAGCAGGCUGUUUUAACCCUGGUUACAUUCGACUGUGAAAAAAAUUAUCAAAAUUAUCAAAACAAUUCACAUGAGCGAACAAUCGAAGGAAACGUCUUUUGGGAAUUAAGAUUCGUGAUUUUAGCACUUCAUUUCCCAUUUUAUUGUCACUGCCUGCAAGUUUUUAAAAUUCAUGCAAGGAAAGCACAAUUAUUCUUACAUUCAAUAAAUCUGUGAAAUAAAAAAAAUUGUACAUAAUAAUAUUAACCAAAUUCCAAUCAUUAUAAACACGUACCUUCUGAGUAAUGAAAUAAACAACUUCAGUCAACGAGGGCUGGCCUUGGACUAGUUCGGGAGUUAUUUAUCAAAUAGAAGCAGUUUGUUUCUUUCUUUGAUCAUUUUGUGAUUAUUUUGUGAGACAAACCACAACAUGACAUUUAAAAGUACAGUAGUACUGUGGUGUUAAAUAUUUGAAUCAAUGUGAUGUUUAAUCAAGAGUGGAAUACAAAAAAAUUGAAGAAAACAAUUUGUACAUCUUAUUCUAUAAUUGAAACGUAAUCGGUCUAUAAAACUAUCAGGUCUUACUGUUGAAGUUAUUAUACAGCCCGUAUGUCUGCUAUUUGCCUUGAGCUUUGUCUGUCUUGUCCGAGGGAAGAUACAAAAACAUUUCUAUACCAUUUGUCAAAGUUGUUCCUUUUCUUUUCUUGUAAUUUUCUUUAUCCUAAAUCUGUCUCCGUGCAUAGAUUAUUUAUUCCUUGUUUUCCCUUUGUGCAAAAUCGACGAGACCUGCUAUCAUACUUCACACCAUCGUUGAGCAAUCGUGAUUUUCUGUAACAAAGUCGCCACUGAGUCCAAAUCCCGACAUGUGGUGAACCCAGAACGCAUUCUGGUUAUCUUUUUGUUCAGUAAGAAGACGCACCCCUUUAUACAAUGAUCCUGGUGAACCACUUUUCUUUUUCAUGCAAAUUUGUUUUUGUUGUUUUAUUGGAAAAAAGGUCAGUCCAGUUGAACGCGCGGUUUUCCGGGGACGUAAAAAGCUGAUUGUAAGUGCUGAGUGAGUGAGAUCAAUUCUUGUGUCGGAUGACUGAAGCCAGUCCGUCAGUGAGUUUGACGAGAAAGAGUUGCCUGGUGCUAGCUGUGCUGGGUUGCCACCCGAACCGACGGGCGAGUGGGUACGUCCACUGCAGGUAAAGGGUUGGCCAGCUGAGAUUCUGAGGCCGUAGGCCAAAGUUUGAUAACACGUUCUUUAUACCACCGACACCCUGAGGAAUUGACUAGUCUCCACAUGGCUUGCGCCUGAAGUUUAAGUGCACGAUCCCCCGGAUUACCGUAAGUUUUAUGUCGUUCAUGUUGUUGAAUUUGUAUGAAGACUGAAUGUGCUCAAUUAUGUUAUAUUAUUGUGAUGUGUUUUCUGCCCUGCAAAAGUAUUUGGCCCAGAUUCAUCAAACGCAGAAUUCUGAAGGGUUGGUAGUUGAUUUGUAACGUCUUGUGUGGAUUUCGUUUCUAUUUAUUGAAAUCGAUCAAAACCCAUCAAAAAGGACAGAGAUUUGUUGAGCUUUCGGUCAUUUCAAUUUUUGUAGAUGAUCAUUGUUCCCAUGGAGGCAACCUGAUGACUCAGAGUAAGGCCUGAGAAAUCCUCCUGAGCUUGAUACUUGAGCUCACGCCAAAGCUGACCGUGUCUCAUAGUAACAGCAACAGAGACAGGACGGAUGUCACCCGCGUUUCUGCCUUGGUCUUCCAGUACCCGUCAGUUAUCGGACCAUCUGGGACACCUGCUCCUGAACUGGAGGGAAAAUGAUGAUGGAAACCACUCACGAUGCAGUACACGGAAAGACAAUGAAUGUAGAAAAAUUUAACUUUUGGACAAGAGAGAACUUCAGGGAUAUCUUCAAAAAAGAGGUCUGCCUGUAACUGGCAUAAAGGCGGAACUUGUUGCAUUGGCCUUUGCUCGUUGGACUAUGAAGGCUCCAGUUCAGCCUUCUAAUGAUGAGCGCCACACAAUCAGGGUGAAAGAGUACAACAUUUUGCUCACUUUAGAGGGAGUGCAGUUGCCUGAUCCACUGUGUGACCUUUUUGGGUGGUUGGGAGAGUCCGAGGUGGCCAUUGCCAUGAUCUCAGAUAUCAGUGACUUCCUUGCCUGGCACGACACUGAUGUGGAUAAGACGAGCCUUGGGGAAAGACUCCUUUGUGAUUACAAAAGGAAACUAUGCCCAAAAUGUACUGAUCCAGCAACCACCGUUGAGGGACAAAAGCAAGCUGGACCAACACUAGAAGAAAUUGAGCAGAAAUUAAGUGGUGCAGUAAGUUUAGGGCAUAUUCACUGGUACCCUUGGGACUUCUCUGGACACCUUAGGAACAAGUCGACUGGUAGCUCUAUUCAUCUGCCAAGAGUGACUAGGUUAGGCACCUGUUUGGUUGGUGCUGUGCCCUGAUGCCUGAUAUGCCAUCUUCACCAGUGGUCACAGGUGUGUUCUCUUGGUGGUCUUCUCAUCAUUGAGGUCAUCUGAGGGCACCUACUGGUACAUGGAAACUCCAAUGGCUAACAACAGCAAGGCUUUCAUUUCAUUGCAUGUUGAGAAAAGGUACCUGUGUUUGAUGGUUUGCACCGGAAACAGUACCCUGUGGACACUUGCCUGACCUGCAUGAUCUGCAUGAUCUGAAUAUCUGCUCAUUGUAUGGCACCAUAAGGACAGGCCCGUCAAGUCAGAUCAGUUGCUGCUCUCUGUUGCGGCCUGAACAUGAGUUUCUUGUCAAAGGCAAAAUCUUGGAUGGGAACACAAGUACAUGUACUGGGUGGAAAUCAAGAAACUGUUUCUACAAACCCUGUCGGAUACUGCCAAGGUGCUCAGAGCUGGAUCGCAUGUCCAAAGGAAUUAAGAUGAAAGUGGACUGCAUCAUUCCAACGUUUACUCAUGAUAUGGAAAGGUAUGACCUCUACACUGUGUUCCCAAUGGAUCAGUUAACUUAAGGCCUGUGAGGUGAGCUGAGUUGAAAGAGAAUGCUUGUUGCUUUUUCCAUUGCUGCAUUUCCAUCAGAUCAUGUAUAUGGACCUGUAAUAUACAUGUAACUGGUUUCUGUUAUAUUGCAUAACAUUCAAUUUUAUGCACUGUCUAAAGGGUAUAAAUCAAUCACAAUCUGGAGAAUUGUUUAAGAAAGCUAUUCAAGGUUAUUUUACCUGAGUAACUGUUGAAGUAAUUGUAAACUUGUCAAAAUAUUGUAAAGUAUUCUGUCUAAAUCUACCUUUGAAGCUGAGUUGAAGAGAAAGGAAGGUUGCUGCACCCAACACUGUUUUAAGGGGAGCAUAUUACGUACAUGUACAGUUGAACGCCGCUAUAACGAACACGACGGGGUCCACGCUAGAUGUUUGGUACAGUGGUCGUUCAGUAUAGCAAAUUUAACUGCAGAACCUUUCAUUGCCAUGUUGAAUAGCGCCCUCUCUUGUCUAACUGAAGUGCACCCUCUUGUGAUACUAUGGUUUGCUGUUUU